rnacentral:tRNA from 1 species
GUCAAUUUAGUUUAAUUUUAAAAUAAAGGUUUGUGGUACCUUAGAUGUUAUGAAUUCAUUUGACU